rnacentral:piRNA from 1 species
UGGUAAUUGGUACGCCUCAGAGACCGGCA